GAAAGGGAGACAUCUUGUGGCACAAGGUAGCGCCAAGAAAUGGAUCUGCUGGAACAAGUUCUUUUUCUUUUUGGGAGACUCAGCGACACAAGGGAGACGCGUCUCUGAAGACGGACUCUUUUUUCUUUGAUUUCGCUGACGAAUAUCUUGGACCGAUAUUAAAAGUCUCUACUAUGAAACACCAGGGAUGACAUGUCUGAUUGCAUUUUGAAUCCAGUCAUUCCUCUAUUGAAGGCAACCUAAAGAAAUGUGUCUGGCUGUUAAAUUACACCAGCAGGAGGAGACCAUUUAGAAUUAUGUGGCUUUGGGGUGUCGUCACAUGCUGCCUUGUUUAACAGUUGGCAUAUUCAGCAGGAUUUGCUCCAAAGAUGAGCCAGGAGCAGGACCUCAACACAAUUCUGGUUAAUAUAGCCUCAAAGCUCCUGACCCUGAAACUCCAGGUGUGGGAGAAUAAUGAAUGCAGCACACAGAAUCCGAGUCGCGAGUACAAGCAUGUGUCACUGUCCAAUAAGGUAUGGGCUCUGUCCCUCCAGAGUAAUGACAAUAUUGAAUCUUAUUUGUUAAUAUUUGAACAUACAGCCAACAGGAAUCACUGGAAGUGUGCGGAAUGGGCUAACAUAAUAGCGCCGUUCCUAAAGAGGGAUGCACAGAAGACUUACUAUGACCUCUUGGAGGAGACAGUCACCAUUUAUGAUGCUCUGAAGAAUGAGAUCCUCAGCAGGUAUGGUGUUUUCCUGGACCAGCAGGCAAGGAUUUGUCGUGAAUGGCGAUUUGACCCAGAGAAGCCAACACGCUCACAGGACUUUAAUUUGUGAAUCAAGGCAGAACACUAGCUACGUACGGCCAGUCGUAAAUGACUUGUGACAAGUCCUUGAGCAAAUUUCUUUUGAUCUCCUAAUAAAUGUCCUUCCCGAAUUAACUUGCCCAGCCGGUCUUGCAGCAGUCUGUUAUAAAAUAUAGAGGGUUCCAUCUUUACCACAGAACAUCACUGGGCAGCUAUCUGAGAGAGCAGAAUGGUCUAAACGCCACCUCAACUCAGUGAGCCCAUAGAAUGUAGCUGGAUGAAGGGAAAAGGGCUUUAUGCACUUGGUAACCCUCUUUCUCUUCCCUGCACAGGAGUGGUACUAGUUAAUGUGCAUAAGGUGACAGCUUUAAUAGAUUCCGCCAUUAACAUUUACAUUUUUGCUUGCUGUUUUGUGUUACAGCAACAGUGGUUGGAUUGUAAGACCAGUCUGACCUGUAUCUACCAUGAAAUCUGAUGGUACAGGUCAGUGGCGGUUCUACAUUAAAUUGCUCCCCGGGCGAGACUCCCUCCCGGCGCCGAAAAAAAAAUAACAUGACAAAACUACACAUUUUGUACACACCACACGUUUUAUUG